rnacentral:lncRNA from 1 species
UUUUUGCUUACUCUUAUGGGUUUGUCGUUUUGCUUUUUGAGUUUUUUUUUUCAUAAACUUUAUUAAGAUGUUUCUCUAGAGCAUUUAUGAUGCUCUUUUUUCUUCUUUUUAUAUUUUUGUAACGAUCAUUUUAUUUUAUAUUUGUUCUUCAAUGUAUAUUGCUUUUUUUUUUAUAAUCACCAUUGAAGUAAAAUAGUUAAAAUUAUAUAUUGUUAAAAU